UCGCGAUGUUCGCCAUGCUCGGUUUCUUCUUACAAGCUUAUGUGACCGGAGAAGGUCCGGUGGAGAACCUUUCGAAGCACCUGAGCGAUCCUUUUGGCAACAACUUGCUCACGGUCAUUGCUGGAACUGCUGAAAGAGCUCCCACCCUCUGAUUUUAAUAUCUUUGUUUUCUGAUUUUCGCCGCUACUUGUUAUUGCGUUUAUGCAUUUUGUUGUACAUCAAACUUAUCGGAUAAUUCCCGAGAACUUUAAUCUUGAAGG
rnacentral:lncRNA from 1 species